AUCUUUGUUGAGGGCUAAGGCUGGCCAUGGUCCGUUAUUUUAAGCGGGAGUUUGGGGGUCCGGCCACUUACGGACCCUCAGAGUUCAUAAAUUGCUCGAUGCUUUCCAGGAUAAUGACCACGAACACUACAGUCUAUUCUUCCAAAAGACUUGCUUCGCUUUGACUUGAAAUUCACCAGAUAAUCCUAUGCUGUCUCCCUUUAGAAAAAUCCUUACCUGUAGAACCCCAACUCCAGUAGUAAUUUGCACACUUAAUUUAAAACAAGCUCAUUCCUAUGAGCCAAGUGGUCAGCAACACUUACUCGCCAGACUCUCCUAGUGAUUCUUUUUUACCUUUAGGUCUCAAAUGCACUUAACAUCAGUAAACUGAGGCCGGGAGAGACAAAACGACUCUCCCGAAGUCAUGCACAGUAAGCCUGUGAACUGGAGGCAGGUCUGGGGCGCCAGCCAGCAGCGUCGCGACUCCGCAAAGUCCCGCUGCCUUUCCUAAAGCACAGAGCCAUCACCAAACAUCUGGAUAACUGGGGCAGAGCUUGGCCAGAGGACCCAGACUUCGUCUCCCCAUCUCAAGGUUGCUCUACCGUCCUCUACAGGGUGUCAGAAGAGUCCUGCAUGAAAAUAACUUGAAAAGAUGGAUCUUCAACCACCCCCAGAAUCAGCAAUAAAAUAACACCCUGAAAGACAGAGUGGGCAGGAACCUGUUGGCUCCAGGGAAGGCGCAGUGCUUGAAGCCCAGGAGCCAACAGUUCUUGACAGUGCUAACUGCAGCCGGUGAGAUGAGUGUGUCCAAAAGUAGGGAGCUGCUUCUGCCACUGACUCUCUGGGAUGUUUGGCCAACCACUCCUCUGCGCUGGGCCUCAGUUUCUACAUCUGUAAAAUAAGAGGGUCGGACUGGAUGGAUAUCUCAGGACCUCACAGCUCUGAAGGCUAUUUCUUAGUGGGGUUUUUUUUUUCAAUGCUACUGAUGCACAGCCAACUCUAUGCUGAUGAGGGAGGCUGGGUUACAAAUCAUCACUUCUCAAAUGAAGGAACUAACUUUCCAUCCAGCGGAUGAAACCCUUGAGCAAGGAAACAAGGAAGAAGUCUUACCUUCCGGAGUAGGUCUACUAGUACCCCCAUGUCACUUACAGAUGAGGAUACUGAGGCCGAAAGAGGAUUGCUCUAAUUCACAGCCUGAAAAUGGCAGUACGUGUCUUUGCGACACUUACCAGUGAAAAACUACCAUACAGCAUGCUCAGUCACUCAUUCAUUUCAUAAUAUGUAUUGAGCUCUUUUAGGUACCGGGGCCUCUGCUUGGCCAUGGGAUGAAAGAUGAACAGUCCCAGCCCUCAAACUGGACAGAUAACGUAAUAGUAGAGGGUCUCUUUUCCUCCCCCUGCUUCUUCCUCAUCUUUUCUUCUUCGUCAUCAUCUUUAUCAUGAAUGAAUGUUGGAUUUUUUUCCUGCAUAUACCGACCUGAUUAUCAUAUGAUUUUUCUUUUUCAAUCUGUGUGCAUUAUGUUGAUUGAUUUUCAAAUACUACACCAAUCUUUCAUUCAUGGGAUAAACCCCAGAUGGUCAUGAAGUACUAUCUUUUUUAUAUGUUGUUAUAUUUAAUUAGCUUAAUUUUCUAAUAUAUCCUAUUAUUGGGUGACUGUUCUAUGUCAAUUAAGUCAAGUUGGUGACAAUGUUGUUCAAGUGUUCUGUUUUUACUAAUCUUCUGUCUCCUUGUUCUAUACAUUAUUUAGAGGGGGUUGCAGUCUCCAGCUAUAAUUGUGGAUUGGCCUGUUUCUCUUUUCAGUACUAACAAUUUUUGCUUCACGUAUUUUGAAGCUCUUACUAAGUGCAUAAACAUUCAUGAUUGCUGUAUCCUCCUGAUGAAUUUUUUUUACCAUUAUGAAAUAAAGGUAGUGGAUUUGUUUUAUUUAGUAUAGAUAUCACCAAGUUAUGGUGUUUCCUUCCAAACAUUUUCUAUAUUUUCCAACAUAGUUGAAAUCAUGUUUUAUCUACCAGUUUAUAUCUUAUUAAAAAUUUUCACUAUGAAAUGUCAUCUAUAUACCAAAGUAUAUGUGUGUGUAUAAACGC